rnacentral:rRNA from 1 species
AUUGAACGCCGGCGGCAGGCCUAACACAUGCAAGUCGAACGGUAGCACAGAGAGCUUGCUCUCGGGUGACGAGUGGCGGACGGGUGAGUAAUGUCUGGGAAACUGCCCGAUGGAGGGGGAUAACUACUGGAAACGGUAGCUAAUACCGCAUAACGUCGCAAGACCAAAGUGGGGGACCUUCGGGCCUCACACCAGCGGAUGUGCCCAGAUGGGAUUAGCUAGUAGGUGGGGUAAUGGCUCACCUAGGCGACGAUCCCUAGCUGGUCUGAGAGGAUGACCAGCCACACUGGAACUGAGAAACGGUCCAGACUCCUACGGGAGGCAGCAGUGGGGAAUAUUGCACAAUGGGCGCAAGCCUGAUGCAGCCAUGCCGCGUGUAUGAAGAAGGCCUUCGGGUUGUAAAGUACUUUCAGCGGGGAGGAAGGCGGUGAAGUUAAUAGCUUCACCGAUUGACGUUACCCGCAGAAGAAGCACCGGCUAACUCCGUGCCAGCCGCCGCCGUAA